rnacentral:rRNA from 1 species
UAACACGGGCCGCCCCCGCCAGAGGACCCCCUAACUCUGUUUCUAUUAUGUUUCUUCUGAGUAAAACAAGCAAAUAAAUUAAAACUUUCAACAACGGAUCUCUUGGCUCUGGCAUCGAUGAAGAACGCAGCGAAAUGCGAUAAGUAAUGUGAAUUGCAGAAUUCAGUGAAUCAUCGAAUCUUUGAACGCACAUUGCGCCCGCCAGUAUUCUGGCGGGCAUGCCUGUUCGAGCGUCAUUACAACCCUCAGGCCCCCGGGCCUGGCGUUGGGGAUCGGCGAGGCGCCCCCUGCGGGCACACGCCGUCCCCCAAAUACAGUGGCGGUCCCGCCGCAGCUUCCAUUGCGUAGUAGCUAACACCUCGCAACUGGAGAGCGGCGCGGCCAUGCCGUAAAACACCCAACUUCUGAAUGUUGACCUCGAAUCAGGUAGGAAUACCCGCUGAACUUAAGCAUAUCAAUAAGCGGAGGAAAAGAAACCAACAGGGAUUGCCCCAGUAACGGCGAGUGAAGCGGCAACAGCUCAAAUUUGAAAUCUGGCUCUCGGGCCCGAGUUGUAAUUUGUAGAGGAUGCUUUUGGUGAGGUGCCUUCCGAGUUCCCUGGAACGGGACGCCAUAGAGGGUGAGAGCCCCGUCUGGUUGGACACCGAUCCUCUGUAAAGCUCCUUCGACGAGUCGAGUAGUUUGGGAAUGCUGCUCUAAAUGGGAGGUAUAUGUCUUCUAAAGCUAAAUACCGGCCAGAGACCGAUAGCGCACAAGUAGAGUGAUCGAAAGAUGAAAAGAACUUUGAAAAGAGAGUUAAACAGUACGUGAAAUUGUUGAAAGGGAAGCGCUUGUGACCAGACUUGGGCUUGGUUGAUCAUCCGGGGUUCUCCCCGGUGCACUCUUCCGGCCCAGGCCAGCAUCAGUUCGCCCUGGGGGACAAAGGCUUCGGGAA